GACGAACGCUGGCGGCGUGCUUAACACAUGCAAGUCGAACGGUAAGGCCCUUCGGGGUACACGAGUGGCGAACGGGUGAGUAACACGUGGGUGAUCUGCCCUGCACUUCGGGAUAAGCCUGGGAAACUGGGUCUAAUACCGGAUAGGACCACUGCCUGCAUGGGUGGUGGUGGAAAGCUUUUGCGGUGUGGGAUGGGCCCGCGGCCUAUCAGCUUGUUGGUGGGGUGAUGGCCUACCAAGGCGACGACGGGUAGCCGGCCUGAGAGGGUGACCGGCCACACUGGGACGGGGGUACGGCCCAGACUCCUACGGGGGGCAGCAGUGGGGAAUAUUGCACAAUGGGCGCAAGCCUGAUGCAGCGACGCCGCGUGAGGGAUGACGGCCUUCGGGUUGUAAACCUCUUUCAGCACCGACGAAGCGCAAGUGACGGUAGGUGCAGAAGAAGGACCGGCCAACUACGUGCCAGCAGCCGCAGUAA
rnacentral:rRNA from 1 species